rnacentral:rRNA from 1 species
GCCCUUAGAGUUUGAUCAUGGCUCAGAACGAACGCUGGCGGCAGGCCUAACACAUGCAAGUCGAGCGCGCCUUUCGGGGCGAGCGGCGGACGGGUGAGUAACGCGUGGGAACGUGCCCUUCGGUGCGGAAUAUACCAGGGAAACUUGGGGCAAUACCGCAUACGGUCUACGGACGAAAGAUUUAUCGCCGAGGGAUCGGCCCGCGUUGGAUUAGGUAGUUGGUGGGGUAACGGCCUACCAAGCCGACGAUCCAUAGCUGGUUUGAGAGGAUGAUCAGCCACACUGGGACUGAGACACGGCCCAGACUCCUACGGGAGGCAGCAGUGGGGAAUCUUGGACAAUGGGGGAAACCCUGAUCCAGCCAUGCCGCGUGAGCGAUGAAGGCCUUAGGGUUGUAAAGCUCUUUCGCUGGGGAAGAUAAUGACGGUACCCAGUAAAGAAGCCCCGGCUAACUCCGUGCCAGCAGCCGCGGUAAUACGGAGGGGGCUAGCGUUGUUCGGAAUUACUGGGCGUAAAGCGCGCGUAGGCGGACUGGAAAGUUGGGGGUGAAAUCCCGGGGCUCAACCCCGGAACUGCCUCCAAAACUGUCAGUCUUGAGGUCGAGAGAGGUGAGUGGAAUUCCGAGUGUAGAGGUGAAAUUCGUAGAUAUUCGGAGGAACACCA